AUUAACAGUGUAAAUAGCCCCAGUGGCUGCGUUGCAGCCAGGCAGCAGCACUCCACUGCUCUCCAGUUAUUGCAGGAAUUGUCAUAAAGCUUCUAGAAAAAGUAGGCGAGUGGAAAAGAGGAAGCAUAUAUUUUAUCCAGAGCAGAAGGAAGGGGUUUGGGCUUGCUUGUGAGAGUUAACUUCAGAGUUGCUGACUUUGGCCACAGCAGUGAUUCAGAUUUUCCCAGAAACUUCCAAUGAUGAAAUUUGAUUAGAAUUGAAAUAUUUCACCUGCUUUGUAGAGCAGGUCAAAAUUUUAAUUGAAACUUCUGAAGCUACAUCCACUGGCUUCCAGCAGAACAGACUCUCCUCUGCACAGAACUGCACGGAUGCUGUGGGGCAUUAGCAGCGUAGUGGUGAGAGGUCCCCCAGAGCCGUUGCCUUAUAGCACUGAAGUGUCAGUGGUUGCAUGGUGGUUUGGAAGGAAAUGAACAAUUCCCACAUUUUCAAACUUAAAGUUGUCUAGAAAACCUGUACAAUACAUUGAUUGCUUCACUUUUUAUUCUCGAUCUAAAAUAUCAAAAUAUUGGCAUUCUUGUAGAACUGAAGAUGAAAUUUUGCUUAGCUCAGGCAGAGGGGAAUAGAAGUCAUACUUUAAACUCUCUGCAAGAGGGCUCAUUACUUGUAGAUAUUGCUUCCCGUUCAGUUUGCAGAAGGAAAUGCUUGAAAAACUUGGCAUCAUUAUCACACCUUCAUAUUUCCUCUUGUAUUCUCUGUCUUGGUGUUUGAGCAUCACUGACUUGUCUACCUUCCUUUUUUCUGGUUUCUGUAGCUGUGAUUGCAGAAAGCCCCAGGCGAUACAUUGCUAACAGCAAGAAUGCUUUUAAGAAUGCUCCAGGACUAGUCAGGUACCCCAUGUAGCAUGUAUGCAUGUUAUCCCUCCUCAGACUUGCUGUUGCUUAUUCUGCUGGUGCUUAUGGUGGAGAGUUUCACUCCUGAUAGCCUUUUUGUGCAAUCUAACACUCCAUCUUUGAGCUCCCCUUGUCCUUAUCCAACAGGGAGCCCUGUUAGCAUUAUAGGAAUCAAGCAUUUCUGGAGAAAGUAAGAAAACCCCUGACAAUAUAAAGGAGAUCUAACAGAAGAAAUAAAUUGAGGUAGUGGGGGAAAGAGGAGAAGAAGCGUGAAGACGAAUCAUAAAGGCAGAAGAAGAAAGAGGAUCAAACAGAAGGGGAGAUGAAAAGCAAGAGCAAAACUGUAGGGGAGACAUAAAGGGGAACAUUGCAAUAGCAACACCAAAAAGCUUAUAGACUGAAAAAAAAAAAAAAAAAAAAAAAAAAAAAAAAGUAU